UCGUAGUUGGAUUUCUGGCGGGAGCGGGUGGUCCGGCACUUAGUGUUGGUACUUUCCUGUCUCUUGCCAUCCUUGGGUCUAAGCUGUCUGGCAUUUAGUUGUCGGGCAGUGGCUGCCCAUCGUUUACUGUGAAAAAAUUAGAGUGUUCAAAGCAGGCUUAUGCCGUUGAAUAUAUUAGCAUGGAAUAAUAAGAUAGGACCUUGGUACUAUUUUGUUGGUUUGCGCACCGAGGUAAUGAUUAAGAGGGACAGUUGGGGGUAUUCGUAUUCAAUUGUCAGAGGUGAAAUUCUUGGAUUUCUGGAAGACGAACUACUGCGAAAGCAUUUACCAAGGAUGUUUUCAUUAAUCAAGAACGAAAGUUAGGGGAUCGAAGAUGAUUAGAUACCAUCGUAGUCUUAACCAUAAACUAUGCCGACUAGGGAUUUGUGGGUGUUAUUUAUGACCCCAUGAGCACCUUAUGAGAAAUCAAAGUCUUUGGGUUCCGGGGGGAGU
rnacentral:rRNA from 1 species